rnacentral:rRNA from 1 species
GAUUAAGUUAUUAAGGGCGCACGGUGGAUGCCUUGGCACUAGAAGCCGAUGAAGGACGUUACUAACGACGAUAUGCUUUGGGGAGCUGUAAGUAAGCUUUGAUCCAGAGAUUUCCGAAUGGGGAAACCCAGCAUGAGUUAUGUCAUGUUAUCGAUAUGUGAAUACAUAGCAUAUCAGAAGGCACACCCGGAGAACUGAAACAUCUUAGUACCCGGAGGAAGAGAAAGAAAAUUCGAUUCCCUUAGUAGCGGCGAGCGAAACGGGAAGAGCCCAAACCAACAAGCUUGCUUGUUGGGGUUGUAGGACACUCUAUACGGAGUUACAAAGGACGACAUUAGACGAAUCAUCUGGAAAGAUGAAUCAAAGAAGGUAAUAAUCCUGUAGUCGAAAAUGUUGUCUCUCUUGAGUGGAUCCUGAGUACGACGGAGCACGUGAAAUUCCGUCGGAAUCUGGGAGGACCAUCUCCUAAGGCUAAAUACUCUCUAGUGACCGAUAGUGAACCAGUACCGUGAGGGAAAGGUGAAAAGCACCCCGGAAGGGGAGUGAAAUAGAACCUGAAACCGUGUGCUUACAAGUAGUCAGAGCCCGUUAAUGGGUGAUGGCGUGCCUUUUGUAGAAUGAACCGGCGAGUUACGAUUUGAUGCAAGGUUAAGCAGUAAAUGUGGAGCCGUAGCGAAAGCGAGUCUGAAUAGGGCGUUUAGUAUUUGGUCGUAGACCCGAAACCAGGUGAUCUACCCUUGGUCAGGUUGAAGUUCAGGUAACACUGAAUGGAGGACCGAACCGACUUACGUUGAAAAGUGAGCGGAUGAACUGAGGGUAGCGGAGAAAUUCCAAUCGAACCUGGAGAUAGCUGGUUCUCUCCGAAAUAGCUUUAGGGCUAGCCUCAAGUGAUGAUUAUUGGAGGUAGAGCACUGUUUGGACGAGGGGCCCCUCUCGGGUUACCGAAUUCAGACAAACUCCGAAUGCCAAUUAAUUUAACUUGGGAGUCAGAACAUGGGUGAUAAGGUCCGUGUUCGAAAGGGAAACAGCCCAGACCACCAGCUAAGGUCCCAAAAUAUAUGUUAAGUGGAAAAGGAUGUGGCGUUGCCCAGACAACUAGGAUGUUGGCUUAGAAGCAGCCAUCAUUUAAAGAGUGCGUAAUAGCUCACUAGUCGAGUGACACUGCGCCGAAAAUGUACCGGGGCUAAACAUAUUACCGAAGCUGUGGAUUGUCCUUUGGACAAUGGUAGGAGAGCGUUCUAAGGGCGUUGAAGCAUGAUCGUAAGGACAUGUGGAGCGCUUAGAAGUGAGAAUGCCGGUGUGAGUAGCGAAAGACGGGUGAGAAUCCCGUCCACCGAUUGACUAAGGUUUCCAGAGGAAGGCUCGUCCGCUCUGGGUUAGUCGGGUCCUAAGCUGAGGCCGACAGGCGUAGGCGAUGGAUAACAGGUUGAUAUUCCUGUACCACCUAUAAUCGUUUUAAUCGAUGGGGGGACGCAGUAGGAUAGGCGAAGCGUGCGAUUGGAUUGCACGUCUAAGCAGUAAGGCUGAGUAUUAGGCAAAUCCGGUACUCAUUAAGGCUGAGCUGUGAUGGGGAGAAGACAUUGUGUCUUCGAGUCGUUGAUUUCACACUGCCGAGAAAAGCCUCUAGAUAGAAAAUAGGUGCCCGUACCGCAAACCGACACAGGUAGUCAAGAUGAGAAUUCUAAGGUGAGCGAGCGAACUCUCGUUAAGGAACUCGGCAAAAUGACCCCGUAACUUCGGGAGAAGGGGUGCUCUUUAGGGUUAACGCCCAGAAGAGCCGCAGUGAAUAGGCCCAAGCGACUGUUUAUCAAAAACACAGGUCUCUGCUAAACCGUAAGGUGAUGUAUAGGGGCUGACGCCUGCCCGGUGCUGGAAGGUUAAGAGGAGUGGUUAGCUUCUGCGAAGCUACGAAUCGAAGCCCCAGUAAACGGCGGCCGUAACUAUAACGGUCCUAAGGUAGCGAAAUUCCUUGUCGGGUAAGUUCCGACCCGCACGAAAGGCGUA